UUGAAAGGGAAACGAUUGAAGUCAGUCGUACCGGCGGGGUAAUCAACCUUUUUGGGUGUGAUUAUGUGGAGCGUGAGGGGGUUAAUCCCCCCUCCAUCUUUGCAUAUUCGUGCACUUUGGGGUGUACUUGCUCGUGUGGUAGGUUAACAUCAAUUUUGAUCGUCAUAAAAUGAUUGGGGGGAAUGUAGCUUCGAUCUCGUAUUGAAGUGUUAUAGGCUUCGGUAGAUGUGAUGAUUGGGAUUGAGGAUUGCAACGGAUACCUUCGGGGCUACCUGUCUGAUCUCUGAAAGUUGCUCUGGUGCUGAAAGCUUGCUUACGGUAUCAAAGUUGACGUUCAACAGGUUAGAACGGGAUAAAUUCGUUAAGGAUGUUGACGUA
rnacentral:rRNA from 1 species